UGAGGGGAUCAAUCGGCGAGUUCGGAUAAAGCCUGUUUGGGAUACCCGUUUAAGUGAGGAAAUAUUUUUAUUAUAUAAAUUCCUUUUCUUUUUAUUUUCUCCCCAAAAACGCCGAUCCCAAACUCCUUCCCUGAUCUUCCCCCCUGCUCGAAGCCGAACCCCCUUUCCCUCUUUCUCUGUUCUCUCUCGCGGACAAGCGACGCCGAAGGGAUUAGGGCUUCCAGCUCCGGCGAUCCUCCUCUACCGACAUCGGCGGUCGUGAGCUUAAAUCCGGGCGGCGCUAUUCCUCUCUGGAUCAUAGGCACGGCGUCGCGUCUCCUCUAGCCGACUGCUGACCUUUCUUCCCCCCUCCUGUCUCUGCCCUAGAUCACCGACGCACCAGUUCUUGGCGAUCGGCGAUUCUUCUCCGUUUCUUGGUGUUGCCGACGAGGAGUGGAUCUUGGAGCUUUGAAGGGGUUAAAGCUAAGUCGAUUCUUUGGUUAGGUCGUAGAUCCCUUCCUUCUUGUUGAUUGAGGGGCAGAGGAAUUCCGGGAACAUAGAAUCGAAUCGGGCAACACCUCCUGGAGACAAUCGGUUGAGUGAGGACCUGUUCUGUGGAUUUCAAUUUGUGUGCUGUGGAUUGUUCUUGAUCCAGUAGCUCACCUUCGUCUUGGCAGAACCUCCAUCCAGCAACAUCUUGGUUGACAGCAGCUUGAUCCGAACAGAGGAUUGAUUCCAGUGAGGUUGAGUGUUUUGUGGAUCUGGAAUUGGGUUCUGUGGCUUCCUAUUCCAGCAGAUCACCUUGUUUUCCAGUAGUUUAAUUGAGGUAAGGUGUAGGGAUUUUGGCUACAUGUUGAUGAAUUAGGGUUUAUGUAUUAGUUAGUUGAAUGUAGGUUUUGAUCUUAGAUGUAGAUCAUGUUUCGAAUUUGGAUAUUUGUUAGAUGAUCACGUGU